ensembl:lncRNA
GGCUUAAGGAGUGCGUGUAUUUAGUCGGCCCUGAUUGGUCUGAUUCACGACGGCGUCUGGGAUCACACAUAGCCUCGUGCCGAGCCAUAAUCUAUUCUAUUUGACAUUUGCGGAUCUCUUCUCUUGUCGAACCUACUCCGGAGAUUUAACGAACUGGUCAACAGCAGUUAGAUAGGAGAAAGAUGAUUGCCUCGAUUGAUUUGGCAGCACAGAGAGAGAAGGAGAGAGACAGGCAUGCUGAAAGCAGUGGCCAGACAGGGACAUGCUCUGAACAUGCAGGUGAUCAGGCAUCACAGAGAGACAGGGAGAGAGACAGGCAUGCUGAAAGCAGUGGCCAGACAGGGACAUGCUCUGGACAUGCAGGUGAUAAGGCAGCACAGACAGACAGGGAGGCAGAGAGGCAGGCUGAAAGCAGUGGCCAGACAGGGGUAUGCUCUGGAAAUGCAGAUGAUCAGGAGACUGACAGGGAAAGAGAGACAGAGCCAGGCAGAGGAGGAAGUGGUUUAGAUCAGCAUAAGGAGGAGCUUGAUCCAUCCAACUGUCUGCAAACAUGGAUCUCUGAUGCAGCAGUGCAGUUGGGAGAUUCUUACGGGUGCCAAGUUUGCAGAAAAUUUGGCGAUUACCCAGCCAUGGUUGCACAUGUUCAAACACAUGACAGAGCAGCCAUAUCUCACAAUGGCUACAAAAUAGAGAGGUGCCAACACAACUGUGCCAACACAAGAUCUCCACACUACCACUGUGUGUGCUCAACCAUUACUGGCAGCAAAAUUUCAUGCAUAAAGCACCUGCAGACCUGCCCUGGCAUGAGGACACCACCUCCAUCUCAAGGCCUCAGCACGCCGAGCCCAAUGCCAGCCACGCACCCGCCACCUCCAUCUCAAGGCCUCAGCAAGCCGAGCCCAAUGCCAGCCACCACCCGCCACCUCCAUCUCAAGGCCUCAGCACGCCGAGCCCAAUGCCAGCCACGCACCCGCCACCUCCAUCUCAAGGCCUCAGCACGCCGAGCCCAAUGCCAGCCACGCACCCGCCACCUCCAUC